UACAGUUUCCCUUCUCUAAACUGGUUCUUUAUUCUAUGACGUAACGGCAGGUAACGGUUCACGGUGCAUUCGGAUGGGUCUCGCGCUCUUUCGUUUCGCUGUAAAAGUUUCCAGCCACUGCCGGCCGAGACACUCGCUUUCGUUCUGUUUGUUUUGACUCGUUGAAAUGCUUUCGCGAAACGCAUUCAGCAGACUUCGGGAGAACGAAGGGACCGUUGAAGCGUUCACCGGAUGAACACUCGUUUCAAGCCCGAGAAUAUACGAACCGCCUCCUGGUCUGACAAAGAAACAGCUGUGUGCAAUGAGCAAGGCACCUGUUACAUGACACGCCUGUAAAGAAGCUAGCCCGAGUGAAACAACAUGCAUUAUAAGGAUUGCCGGGCAACGACAGGAUGACUACCCCCGAAUGUCCACUCUGCAAGUGCGGCGAAACAUGUGAACGUCUGCUACAACAGGUCAUCUUGAACCUCACGCUUGCAAUGCUGUAUUUGUGAAUGGUUUACCAGGCAUCUCAUGGAGGUGUGCCUACAAUCGUCCACAAGUAUUAGCUGUCUACUGUGUCAUGCAACCUACACCGCAAUAGCGUUGAAAUUGAGCACUAGCUCCGUGCAUUAGUUACGUUACCUGGCACUGCUGAGCUCAACGACGCAGGUUUUAUACCCAGCCACGGUGGUCACAUUUCAUUGGGGGCGAAAUGCAAAGACACUCGUGUGCUUAGAUGUGCGUCUGAAGUUCAGGGAAAGACGAAAGCUUGAAGAGACGAAGCAUUUGUUAACAAGAGGUGUCGCUGGAGCAAAUGUUUCGACAAGCAGUCUUGUCUUCUUCAAGGCUACAACUGCGUUUGUUUAACUCCAGUCAGUUAGAAUCAAUCUAGAGUUGCCCACUACUGUAUGACUCAUAAUCAUAUCAUGCUUUGCAUGUGAAUCAUCAGAAAUUAUAAAUUUAAGGGUAAAUAUAUAGAAGUCUGUCUGGCUGGGCAAGAUUAUAAGAAUAAAAACGCUCUCCAGCCACAUUUAAUCAUUAGUCUUCUUAAUUUAAAAAAAAACUAAGAGACCAAACGGGUCCCGAAACGUAGGGUCAGUUUUUUUUAAAUUAUAAAUCACAUUACAAAACAAACAUCACGGCAGUGAGAGGAAUUAACAGUCUUUCCAACAUCUAAUAAUAUCUAGGGUUUAACAUCCCAAAAUCGCGAUACACCGUAGUGGAGGGCUCCGCAAAUUUCGACCACCUGGGGUUCUUUGACGUGCACCUAAACCUAAGUACACGGGCCUCAAACAUUUUCGCCUCCAUCGAAAAUACAGCUGCCGCGCAACGUAAAUGCAACGUUUAGUUGUGCCUUAUGAGACAGUUUACACACUAUGCUCAAAACUGUUUUGCCUUAAUUAACUGUGUUUAGAUCAUAGAAGUUUACAAAAAGAUACGACAAAGCUUUACAAGGCUGUGCUCAAUUACAUUAGCCUUUGCACAUAUGUUCAAUGGGCUCCUUCAAAUUAUUUACAGCUAAUAAACAAAUUAUAAGUGUGACGAGCACCUCUUCCAGCACAGCUUCACCAAGCACGUUUACGUUGUCGUGAUGAGUGAGAUUGUGUUCAGUGAGUAUGGUAGUGUUUUCUUUUUUGCAUAGCAGAGAAACGUGCCAAAUUUGUUUGAACACACCUACUUCUGCUGUUUGAUUAAAUUAACAUGUCGCAGUUGUAGCACCUACCACUAUGAAGUGAAAAUCUGUAAACUACUGUCACGAAAAAAAACCUAGGAAAUCGAAGAGGUAAUUUAAAACAUACAUGAACUUGGACUUAUCCACAGCCACACUACAAGAUUUUACGUAUUGUCAAGGGGUCGUGACGUCGACGAAAGCAGCAGUCGGUGUGUCCAAGAUGAAACUUUUUAUUCGGCCGAACUUGUGGCCGGGAAACGAAAAGUCAAACUACAGCAAUACACACUGCACACUGAUAGCGGCGAACAGGCGUCAGCCGUCGAUAAACUGAUCUGUGGCAAGGCGCGUCGGCAUUUAUACCUGCGGCAUCGAACAUUCGAGCAUUAUCACUGGUGGCUGCGUUAGUUCGACAAUCAACUGAGCUGUUUGCAAUUGCACGCUCCAGCCUAGCAGAAGAUCCUAAAAUAAUCUGGAAUGUUCCCAGACAUUCUGGCACGGUUUGUGCAAUGCAAUAACUACACGUGCAAUUGGCCAAUAACAUAAAACAUAGAAAGAAAGGAGCGCAUGUGACAGUAUUUCAAGCCGGAGCUUCUAAAAGUAGCAGGAAGAAUACAUACUUGUGCUCCCAAGCCCAAAUAUAUUGAAAAAGUAAAUAACACAAUAACAAGUAUGCAAUAUAUAUAUGACCUUUAUUUAUCCAGCAUUGGCACAGGUUCACAUCGUGCCCCACAGUUUGAUUUCGUGAGUGUUUGCUUGCAACAGAGUGCUCAAGUUCUAUCGACAUGUCUAUGUGAUACAGAGAUUGUGCUUACGGCUGAGCAGUUGUUUAGUGUUCUGUGCGAACACCAACGAAGAUGUACACUGCAUGCCUAAAGCUUAUUUUCUUAGAAUUGUGCUUCUAGAAUCUGUAAGCACUCGCCUUAUAUCUCUGUUUCUUUAGCAUUCAUCUACGCUGCAUACUCAGCAGUCCGAUUACUACUAGCGCCAAGAAAUUCUAGCUGUAGAAACUGUGUAACUGAACUAUAUCGAGGAACAAAACGAGCCUGAAAUAUUUUCUUCCACCUAUUACCUGAAUACGUACUACCUAUGGUAUGGCUUCACGGCCGAGAAAUUCGUGCCUGCCCUGUAGACACAACGCGAUAUUCCUUAUUUGUAACGCAUUCAAGGUGACAUCGCAGAGCGAGAAAGAUGCAGAACUGUACGCAUCCGCGAUUGUUUACGUAAAAGAUUAAUCAAAACUACAUUGCUCUCACUGCGCCAACUAUCUGUCGGCGUAGCGCACGUUUCGUUUCCGACUCCACACCAUGCACUCAAAGAUCAACGCAACCUGGGAAGCGCCGCAUAACUAAAGGAAGGAUAAGACCGUUGUCCUAAAGCUAUGCUGUUAAAACUCGGACGCUGCUACACAACGAGAGCAACGUUCUUUCAGCGAUCUCGGUGUUCAGUUAUAUGCACAUAUUUGUCAGCUUUCAGACCGAUUACACGCGUACGGGUUGAAAGCUUUCGACGUGUAUGAGUGACUUGUUUUGCUUGGACCUGACUGUAUAUAUUGCUUGUACCAUGGCUUGUACCACCUUGGGGACUCACAAUAAACGAUGCAAACCUUACUUGAUUGACGCUGUUUUUGCCAGUCGAGGCCAGUUUGGUCACCUGGC